GGUGAGAUGGCCGAGCGGUCCAAGGCGCCAGACUAAGGAUCUGGUCCGAAAGGGCGUGGGUUCGAAUCCCACUCUCAUCA
rfam:Phanerochaete carnosa HHB-10118-sp unplaced genomic scaffold PHACAscaffold_3, whole genome shotgun sequence.